UACGGAGGGUGCAAGCGUUAUCCGGAUUCACUGGGUUUAAAGGGUGCGUAGGUGGGCAGGUAAGUCAGUGGUGAAAUCUCUGGGCUUAACCCGGAAACUGCCAUUGAUACUAUCUGUCUUGAAUACCGUGGAGGUUAGCGGAAUAUGUCAUGUAGCGGUGAAAUGCUUAGAUAUGACAUAGAACACCAAUUGCGAAGGCAGCUGGCUACACGAUAUGACUGAUGCACGAAGCGUGGGAUCAACAGG
rnacentral:rRNA from 1 species